AACGAACGCUGGCGGCAUGCCUAACACAUGCAAGUCGAACGGGAUCCAGGCUUCGGUCUGGUGAGAGUGGCGGACGGGUGAGUAACACGUGGGAACCUGCCUUUUGGUUCGGGAUAACCGCGGGAAACUGCGGCUAAUACCGGAUGCUCCCGAGAGGGGAAAGAUUUAUCGCCAGAAGAGGGGCCCGCGUCCGAUUAGGUAGUUGGUGAGGUAAUGGCUCACCAAGCCGACGAUCGGUAGCUGGUCUGAGAGGAUGAUCAGCCACACUGGGACUGAGAUACGGCCCAGACUCCUACGGGAGGCAGCAGUGGGGAAUAUUGGACAAUGGGGGCAACCCUGAUCCAGCAAUGCCGCGUGAGUGAUGAAGGCCUUAGGGUUGUAAAGCUCUUUUGCCAGGGAAGAUGAUGACUGUACCUGGAGAAUAAGCCCCGGCUAACUUCGUG
rnacentral:rRNA from 1 species